rnacentral:lncRNA from 1 species
UGUGCCCCCGAGAGCCUGGGUGAUGCCCUCAGAGAGAGGGAGAAAGGCAGAGCAAGUCUGGGCCCAGGGCGGAGCUAAGGGGCUUCGACCUCACACGGUCCUAGCUCCAGACAUGGCUUGGCUAUCAGCUCAUGGUCUCACCUUAUGCCAAUUGUUUCUUCCUUCCAGGAUUCAGUUGCCUGUCUGAACAGUGACUACCAUGAACUCUACAUGCCGUCUACUUCUAACCCUCUUUGGCCUGACUCCAGCUUCAACACCUGGAAACAUGGCAAAAAGAACAGGGGGACAUUGGCUUGGACUGGAGCCAUGUGUCAGAGUUUGACUCAAGGAUAGUUGAUGUAGAAUGAAGAGAAUGAGCAGGGAACAAGAGUGUCUGCAGGUCGACUGAGGGUUGACUGAUGCAGGUUGGCCUUGGCUGGGCUUGGUUCCAAGCUGCAGGUUGCGUCCAGGUCGGCUCCAUGCAUUCCUCAGCACCCUCGGACCGUCUUGCAACCUCUAGCCUCUACUUUUCAUGAAGGAAGUCAACUCUGGAGAUAAAGAGAGUGAGCCCAAGCCACAGAAAGAAAAGGAGAAUGAAGACCGGGCGCUGUGGC